rnacentral:rRNA from 1 species
CUGGCUCAGGACGAACGCUGGCGGCGUGCCUAACACAUGCAAGUCGAGCGGAGGGGAUAGGAGCUUGCUUUUUGAACCUCAGCGGCGGACGGGUGAGUAACACGUGGGUAACCUGCCCUUGAGAGGGGGAUAACAGGUCGAAAGGCCUGCUAAUACCGCAUAACGCUAAGAAGCUGCAUGGCGUCUUAGCCAAAGGUUAAUUCCGCUCAAGGAUGGGCCCGCGGCCCAUUAGCUAGU